UUGAUACAAUUACCAACUGUA
rnacentral:siRNA from 1 species